AGAUGGACAGUUUGACUGGGGCGGUCGCCUCCUAAAGAGUAACGGAGGCGCUCAAAGGUUCCCUCAGAAUGGUUGGAAAUCAUUCACAGAGUGUAAAGGCAUAAGGGAGCUUGACUGCGAGACUUACAAGUCGAGCAGGGUCGAAAGACGGACUUAGUGAUCCGGUGGUUCCGCAUGGAAGGGCCAUCGCUCAACGGAUAAAAGCUACCCCGGGGAUAACAGGCUUAUCUCCCCCAAGAGUUCACAUCGACGGGGAGGUUUGGCACCUCGAUGUCGGCUCAUCGCAUCCUGGGGCUGUAGUCGGUCCCAAGGGUUGGGCUGUUCGCCCAUUAAAGCGGUACGCGAGCUGGGUUCAGAACGUCGUGAGACAGUUCGGUCCCUAUCCGUCGUGGGCGUAGGAAAUUUGAGAGGAGCUGUCCUUAGUACGAGAGGACCGGGAUGGACAUACCUCUGGUGUACCAGUUGUCGUGCCAACGGCAUCGCUGGGUAGCUAUGUAUGGACGGGAUAAGUGCUGAAAGCAUCUAAGCAUGAAGCCCCCCUCAAGAUGAGAUUUCCCAACUUCGGUUAUAAGAUCCCUCAAAGAUGAUGAGGUUAAUAGGUUCGAGGUGGAAGCAUAGUGAUAUGUGGAGCUGACGAAUACUAAUCGAUCGAAGACUUAAUCAA
rnacentral:rRNA from 1 species